rnacentral:rRNA from 1 species
GCGAAAUCUUUCUUUGGAUUGUAUGUGUGAGAGAGGUUUGGUUUGGUUUGAGGUUGGCUUUUUUAUGGGCGAGAUGUUGUGUUUGGAAGUAGUAGUAUGCUUGUUGUGGAAGAAUUGGUUUGGGUUUAAGUACUUUUUGUAUCAUGGGUCAUAGAGGUGAGGUUUAAAUAGUUGUACCUGAAAGGUUUAGAGCUAUCUUCCCUAUGGGUUUUCUUGGAUCUUGUGUUUGUGGUGUUGCAUUAUCAUAGAUAAGGGGGAGAUAGCAGUGAAAUGUUUGUCGGAAGGCCUGAUAGCUGGUUUAUCGGGAAAUGCAUAUAAGUGCAGCGAGGCUGAUAGGACUAGGAGAAUGGUGUAAUAAUCUUGGUUUUGUGUCUUAGUGAGGUCUGAGGGGUGAAGCUCUUAGAUUUUGGAUGAGUUUGGGUAAUUUAUUAAGUAGGGUUAGAAGUGCCUUUCUUAUUUUGAAUGUUUGUUCAAAGCUCUUUGUGGUUUUUGUUGUUUUGUACCGGUAGUGUUUCUGGAGUUUGGAGGUUAUGCAUUAGUAUGAUAUUUGUAAGUGUUAAAGUGGCAUAAUUUUUAUAAUAGCGCUAUUUAGCGGUAGGGUUGUUUAUUGUGGCUGGUUCUGUUGUGGAGUGGCUCUCUACCCUUGUGAUUUUCUUUUGGGGCUAGAGUGCAACAAAUUUGUUUUGCAUUGGCUUUUGGGCCUGGUGGUUGCGAGAAGUGGGUCUAAGGAAUUCGGCAAUUAUCUUCUUCGCCUGUUUAUUAAAAACAUCGCUCUCAGUUUUUGGAGUGUUGAGGGUCGUGCCUGCCCGGUGGAGUUUCGUCUUUAAACGGUUGCUGUUUAGAGCAGUACGAAGGUAGCGCAGUAAAUCGUCCUUUGAUUUGGGAAUAGUAUGAAUGGCUUGACGUGAGGAGGUCUGUCUCGGACUCAUUUGUUGAUGUUUAUUUCUGUGUGAAAAGGCUCAGAUUUUUUCAUUAGACGAGAAGACCCCGUCGAGCUUGAUGGGGGCUGGGGUAUCGUUCUUAGUUCGAAGUUUAGCUGGGGUGACUUGAUGCAGAAUUAACGCAUUUGAAGUAUUAGGUGUGAAGAUCCUCUAUUAGGGACAUGAAGAAAAAGCUACCGCGGGGAUAACAGCGUAAUGUCCUUGGAAAGGUCUUAUUGAAGAGGGGUGUUGCGACCUCGAUGUUGAAUUAGGGUUUCGUCUUGGCGCAGCCGUUGAGAUAGUGGGACUGUUCGUCCUUUAAAAUUCUACAUGAUUUGAGUUUAGACCGGCGUGAGCUAGGUCGGAUUCUAUCUUUGUUUGAGGCCUUUUUUGUACGAAAGGAUCGAAGGGCUGGU